rnacentral:rRNA from 1 species
CCUACGGGAGGCAGCAGUCGGGAAUAUUGGGCAAUGGAGGAAACUCUGACCCAGCAAUACCGCGUGAAGGACGAAGGUUUUCGGAUUGUAAACUUCUGUUAUAAAGGAAGAAAAAAAUUACAGUACUUUAUAAGUAAGCCCCAGCAAACUAGGUGCCAGCAGCAGCGGUGAUACAUAGGGGGCAAGCUUUGUCCGGAAGGACUGGUUGUAAAGUGUGUGUAGGUGGCUUAUUAAGUUAGAGGUGAAAGCCCGAAGCUCAACUGCGGAACUGCCUUUAAAACUGGUUGGCUUGAGUGUGGGAGAGGUUAGUGGAACUCCUGGUGUAGCGGUGGAAUGCGUAGAUAUUAGGAAGAACAUCAGAGGCGAAGGCGACUAACUGGAACAUUACUGACACUGAGACACGAAAGCGUGGGGAGCAAACAGGAUUAGAUACCCGAGUAGUC